rnacentral:rRNA from 1 species
AACGAACGCUGGCGGCAGGCCUAACACAUGCAAGUCGAGCGAGGACUUCGGUCCUAGCGGCGGACGGGUGAGUAACGCGUGGGAACGUGCCCUUUGCUUCGGAAUAGCCCUGGGAAACUGGGAGUAAUACCGGAUGAGCCCUUUGGGGGAAAGAUUUAUCGGCGAAGGAUCGGCCCGCGUUGGAUUAGGUAGUUGGGGGGGUAAUGGCCUACCAAGCCGACGAUCCAUAGCUGGUUUGAGAGGAUGAUCAGCCACACUGGGACUGAGACACGGCCCAGACUCCUACGGGAGGCAGCAGUGGGGAAUCUUAGACAAUGGGGGAAACCCUGAUCUAGCCAUGCCGCGUGAGCGAUGAAGGCCUUAGGGUUGUAAAGCUCUUUCAGCUGGGAAGAUAAUGACGGUACCAGCAGAAGAAGCCCCGGCUAACUCCGUG